UAGUUUGAUCCUGGCUCAGGGUGAACGCUAGCGGUGCGCCUAAUACAUGCAAGUCGAGCGAAAUAAUAAUGACUGAUCUCUCCGGAGUGAAGAUAUUAUUUGAAAGCGGCGAACGGGUGAGGAACACGUUGGUAUCUGCCCCCAAGUCAGGGAUAGCCCAGGGAAACCUGGAUUAAUACCGGAUAGUCUCUUCGGAGUAAAAACUUAUUGCUUGGGGAGGAACCUGCGUUCUAUCAGCUUGUUGGUGAGGUAAUGGCUUACCAAGGCUAUGACGGAUAACUGGUCUGAGAGGAUGAUCAGUCACAAUGGAACUGAGACACGGUCCAUACUCCUACGGGAGGCAGCAGUAAGGAAUCUUCCACAAUGGACGAAAGUCUGAUGGAGCGACACCGCGUGAAGGACGACGGUCUAACGAUUGUAAACUUCUUUUCUGAAGGAGCAUAAUGAGAGUACUUCAGGAAUAAGGGACGGCUAAAUACGUGCCAGCAGCCGCGGUAAUACGUAUGUCCCAAGCGUUACCCGGAAUUAUUKGGGUGUAAAGGGUUCGUAGGCGGGAAUAUAAGUCAGAUAUAAAAGACCGGAGCUCAACUCCGCGUUUGUAUUUGAAACUGUAUUUCUAGAAUGAGGGAGAGGUAAGCGGAAUUCUAAGUGUAGGGGUGCAAUCCGUAGAUACUUAGAAGAACACCAAAAGCGAAGGCAGCUUACUGGAACUCUAUUGACGCUCAUGAACGAAAGCGUGGGUAGCGAAAAGGAUUAGAUACCCUUGUAGYCCACGCCCUAAAUGAUGAUAACUAAGUGUUGCUUAUUGAAGCAGUGCUGUAGCUAACGCGUUAAGUUAUCCACCUGAGUAGUACGGUCGCAAGAUUAAAACUCAAAGGAAUAGACGGGGACCCACACAAGCAGUGGAUCAUGUGGUUUAAUUCGACAAUAAACGGGGAAUCUUACCCAGGCUUGACAUCUACCGAAUCUUUUAGAAAUAAAAGAGUGUCUUUAUUGAAGCGGUAUGACAGGUGCUGCAUGGUUGUCGUCAGCUCGUGCCUUGAGGUGUUCGGUUAAGUCCGUUAACGAGCGCAACCCAUGUUCUUAGUUAUUAUGUCUAAGAAGACUGCCUUGGUUAACAAGGAGGAAGGUGUGGAUGACGUCAAAUCAGCAUGGCUUUUACGCCUGGGGCUACACACAUGAUACAAUGGUAUAUACAGAGGGUAGCGAUAUUGCAAAAUGGAGCUAAUCCUUAAAAUAUAUCUCAGUCCGGAUUGGAGUCUGCAACUCGACUCCAUGAAGUUGGAAUUGCUAGUAAUCGUGAAUCAGAUAUGUCACGGUGAAUAUGUUCCUGGGUCUUGUACUCACCGCCCGUCAUGGCAUGGAAGGUAGUAAUAUCGGAAGCUCCCCUAGUAAUAUGGGGAUCCAUGGUAAGACUACUGACUGGGCUAAAGUCGUAACAAGGUAGCCG
rnacentral:rRNA from 1 species